CAGAGAUUUAACAUGUAUGAUUUUAAAAUAUUGGGUCAUAUUCUCUAAACAGUGAAUUGUGGUGAAUUUGAAGCCAAAUUGCAAAAUCUAUGAAAAAAAAAACCAGGCAAGUUGGAAAAAACUACAUUGGAAUUGUAUUCCAACUCCUUGUCAGGGUUUAUUUACUAAACACCAACUUGCAGUCAGUUGAAAUCCUAACUGAAAAAAAUGAAGUAUCCAGUAGUGGAGUCUUAGAAUGUUAGCAAAUUGGCUACUUUGCUCCGAUUUUUGUAAUUCAGAAUUCAAAUCAGUACAAUUGAGUGUUCAGUAAUUGAACUCCUUUGUGUAACACACAUUACACUGUAAUAAACGAGCACAAAAUGCAAUCCUUAGACAGUUUGCC